ACUCCUGCGUCUUCUCCUGCCUGAAGGAGUCGUUCCUUGGUUAGUUUGGGCAUUGAGAGGGACCACCCCUCUCAACGCUAUCCUCUGGGCCGUCGAGAAUGAAAGUUUGUCUGCAAAUACCUUAUUAGAACGAUGCUUGGCUUCUAAAACUCAGAAUAAUAAGGAAUAGCCAAAUUCUUUGAUAUGGACUUUUGUUCCGAAACACAUUCUUACAGGAACGCGGAAUUCAAGCAUUGAAAUUGCUACUUUUGUCGCUGUUAGUAUUUCUAAUGAAGGUUGUAUACCCAUUUUAAAAAUAUUGGACGUUAUGGGAAUCACGAUUGGUCCAGUAGCUAUGCGUUUGUCACGUAAAAAAAGAAACUCUCUUGAUGAUACAAAAAACUUUAUUUCUCAAGAGUCCAAGACCCUUGGGUACCACUUGCAAUGUUCAAGUAUCGGCUCACAGUUCAGACUGACUUGGUCGUCAAUAUUCGGAGUUUAUAUACUAACCAAGGACAACGGAAAUGAUGGUGGGGAUAUUGUUUUUGGAAAUUUUUUACCAGGACGGCGAUGUGUCGACUGUUUGGAGGAUGUUUAGAGGUGAUCGCCUAAAGUGACGUCAGUGUAGAAGAUUUUGAGGUUACACGUUCGCUGUCAAACGGGACGAAACUCGGAUCUAACGUUCUGAAAUCCGAGCAUCGAAUGCUUCAAAGGAAGCCAGGACUGCUCGUCUACACGAAAGAACUUUAGAGAAUGAAAAUUUUGAAGUGGAGGAAGUGGAAUGAACUCCAUUGUAUGGAGCAGAAAUCGCCGCUUGAAAAUAUAUGAUCAGAAGGGUUAGAACUAUGCACGUGUGACAUCAAUCACACUUCAAUCUACAUCAGAGAUAACACAUCGACCCCCGAGCUUCGGACUCCUUUGGACACAUCACCACCUUAUUAUCAUAACCUACACCAAGGCUGUGACGCACCUUAGUCCACAUGCGGUUCAGUGUCAUUCUAUUCUUUUUUUAGAAUUCUCCAAAGAAAACCGCCAAGCAAGUGUUACAACCGGCACGUUUCAAAUCCGAUGGACUGUUGAUGGAGAUAAAGAUGCGGCGGCACUCGGCGACAAUGUAUAGCGCCGAAAUGCCUAAUGAGCCAUCAAUAUCCCAACGGUUCUUCCACCGAAUGUUCUAGAAGAAGGCGUGCGUGCGUCGCGGACG